UACAGCUCAGUGGUAGAGCACGUGCCUAGCAAGCAUUAAGUCCUGGGUUCAAUCCCCAGUA
rnacentral:tRNA from 1 species